UCGAGAAUCUUCCACAAUGGACGAAAGUCUGAUGGAGCGACGCCGCGUGAUUGAUGAAGCUUUUCGGAGUGUAAAGAUCUUUUAUGAGGGAAGAAGUUUAUUGACGGUACCUCAUGAAUAAGGGGCUCCUAAUCUCGUGCCAGCAGGAGCGGUAAUACGAGAGCCCCGAGCGUUAUCCGGAAUUAUUGGGCGUAAAGGGUGCGUAGGUGGCAUUGUUAGUCGUCUGUUAAAUCCUCGGGCUUAACCCGAGAAUCGCGGACGAAACGGCAAAGCUAGAGAGUGUGAGGGGUUUGCGGAACUCAUGGUGUAGGGGUGAAAUCCGUUGAUAUCAUGGGGAACACCAAAAGCGAAGGCAGCAAACUGGCACAUAUCUGACACUCAAGCACGAAAGCGUGGGUAGCGAAUGGGAUUAGAUACCCCCGUAGUCC
rnacentral:rRNA from 1 species